rnacentral:rRNA from 1 species
UACGGGGGGAGCAAGCGUUGUUCGGAUUUACUGGGCGUAAAGGGCGCGUAGGCGGUCAGCACAAGUCAGUUGUGAAAUCUCCGGGCUUAACUCGGAAAGGUCAACUGAUACUGUGCGACUAGAGUGCAGAAGGGGCAACUGGAAUUCUCGGUGUAGCGGUGAAAUGCGCAGAUAUCGGGAGGAACACCGAUGGCGAAGGCAGGUCUCUGGGCUGACACUGACGCUCAUGCACGAAAGCGUGGGGAGCAAACAGG